CGGUGAAUACGUUCCCGGGCCUUGUACACACCGCCCGUCACACCAUGGGAGUUGGUUUUACCCGAAGGCGAUGUGCUAACCGCAAGGAGGCAGGCGACCACGGUAGGGUCAGCGACUGGGGUGAAGUCGUAACAAGGUAGCCGUAGGGGAACCUGCGGCUGGAUCACCUCCUU
rnacentral:rRNA from 1 species